rnacentral:rRNA from 1 species
AUACGGAGGAUCCAAGCGUUAUCCGGAUUUAUUGGGUUUAAAGGGUGCGCAGGCGGGAUAAUAAGUCAGGGGUGAAAGUUUGCAGCUUAACUGUAAACAUGCCGUUGAAACUGUUAUUCUUGAGUACAGACAAGGUAGGCGGAAUGUAUUGUGUUGCGGUGAAAUGCUUAGAUAUAAUACAGAACCCCGAUUGCGAAGGCAGCUUACUAGGCCAUAACUGACGCUCAGGCACGAAGGCGUGGGGAUCAAACAGGAUUAGAUACCCUGGUAGUCCACGCUGUAAACUAUGAUAACUAUCUUUUAGCGAUACACAGUUAGAGGGUACGAGAAAUCAUUAAGUUAUCCACCUGGGGAUUACGUUCGCAAGAAUGAAACUCAAAGGAAUUGACGGGG